GACGAACGCUGGCGGCGUGCUUAACACAUGCAAGUCGAACGGAAAGGCCCUGCUUUUGUGGGGUGCUCGAGUGGCGAACGGGUGAGUAACACGUGAGUAACCUGCCCUUGACUUUGGGAUAACUUCAGGAAACUGGGGCUAAUACCGGAUAGGAGCUCCUGCUGCAUGGUGGGGGUUGGAAAGUUUCGGCGGUUGGGGAUGGACUCGCGGCUUAUCAGCUUGUUGGUGGGGUAGUGGCUUACCAAGGCUUUGACGGGUAGCCGGCCUGAGAGGGUGACCGGCCACAUUGGGACUGAGAUACGGCCCAGACUCCAACGGUAGGCAGCAGUGGGGAAUAUUGCACAAUGGUCGGAAGCCUGAUGCAGCAACGCCGCGUGCGGGAUGACGGCCUUCGGGUUGUAAACCGCUUUCGCCUGUGACGAAGCGUGAGUGACGGUAAUGGGUAAAGAAGCACCGGCUAACUACGUG
rnacentral:rRNA from 1 species